rnacentral:misc_RNA from 1 species
GGAUGAUUUAUGGAAUGAGGAUUCCAAAAAAUGGUUUGACUUGAAAGAUUUGUUAGCCAGAGGUGCAUGUGGAAGUAAAAUAAUAGUGACUACGCGUCUUGAAAAUGUUGCAAAGAUGAUAAGAUCAGAUGAAACGAGUAAAUUGCAAGGCCUAUGUGAUGCUAAGUCAUGGUUGUUGUUUAAAAAAAUGGCUUUCAAGAAAGAGCAAGUAACAAGCGCAAAGCAUGAGAUAAUUGGAAGAGAAAUUGUGACAAAAUGUGCUGGAGUCCCUUUAGCCAUUAGAGCAAUAGGAAGUUUAUUGUAUUAUAAAAAUACAAUAAAGGAGUGGGAAUCGUUCAAAGAAAAAGAGUUUUUAUAUUUGAAUGAAGGGGAGGUUAAUAUUAUGAAAACUCUUAGGUUGAGUUAUGAUCAUCUCCCUUCUCAUUUAAAGUGUUGUUUUGCCUAUUGUAGAUUAUUUCCAAAAGGUUCAAAAAUUAAAAUAGGAUAUUUGGUGAAUCUUUGGAUGGCACAAGGAUUGAUUAAAUUAUCAGAUUCAAAACAAAGUUUUAGAGAUGUAGGCUUAAAAUAUUUCAAAGAUCUUUUAUGGAGGUCUUUCUUUCAAGACGUAGAAGAAGAUAUAUUGGGUAAUUUAAGGAGUUGUAGAAUACAUGAUUUGAUGCAUGAUCUUGUCGUGCAAGUAGCAGGAGAUGAGAACAUUUUAUUAAAUUCAGAUGCAGAACUUGUUAAAGAAGGAACUCGACAUGUUUCAAUUGGUUUUAAAAUUGAGUCAUGGCAAAAAGUUGCAAGUUGCUUACCUAUUGUGACAAAGGUGCGAACAUUUACAUCAUUCAAUUGGUCAAAAAUGCAUGAUAUUAAAGAAGUAGAAUG